rnacentral:misc_RNA from 1 species
UUCGAGAUAUGGAAAAACAAUUCGUUUUGUUUUUCUAGAAUUAUGAAAUAAAAUAAAGAUAAGUUUUUCUCUUGUUUAGUUUGUAAAGAUUAUUAAAAACUCUGUCCAUCAAGGGACUAUAGCUCAGCUGGCUAGAGCGUUCGACUGAUAAUCGUGAGGUCUCAGGUUCAAGUCCUGAUAGUCCCACCAUUUUUAAAGUACUUUUAUAGCAUUUGCACUUACAAUAAAAACUCAUUUACUUUUAGUAAACUUCGUUUCCAUUGUAAGCACAACUACUACAAAAUUACUUUAAAAAUCUCAGUCGAAGGGGAAUUAGCUCAGCUGGGAGAGCGCCUGCCUUGCACGCAGGAGGUCAGCGGUUCGAUCCCGCUAUUCUCCACCAUAUCCACACACAAAUCCAUUAACCAAUAGUAUAAAAGUUAAAUAUAAGUCUUAAUUCCAAAAACACUAAGAUUUAUAUUUGAUUUUUUAAUCAAAGUGAUAUUUAAAAACAUAUUGUUAAAGUCUUUAAUUUCCUAUAGAGAUUAUCUAAGCAAUUAGAUAAUUAUUUAUAGAAAUAAAAAAAAUAAACUACGAAUUUUAUUAGAAACUUGUUUUUAAUAAGAUAGUAGCCAAAGAAUAAUCAUAACAAACAACAAAUGUAGUUAUUGGAGAUGAAUAGCAAUAUUU